rnacentral:rRNA from 1 species
AUUGAACGCUGGCGGCAGGCCUAACACAUGUAAGUCGAACGAGUGGCGGACGGGUGUGUAAUGUCUGGGAAACUGCCUGAUGGAGGGGGAUAACUACUGGAAACGGUAGCUAAUACCGCAUACCAUCAGAUGUGCCCAGAUGGGAUUAGCUUGUUGGUGGGGUAACGGCUCACAAGGGCGACGAUCCCUAGCUGGUCUGAGAGGAUGACCAGCCACACUGGAACUGAGACGCGGUCCCGACUCUUACGGGAGGCAGCAGUGAGGAAUAUUGCACCAUGGUCGCAAGCCUGUUGCAGCCAUGCCGAGUGUAUGAAGAAGGCCUUCGGGUUGUAAGGUACUUUAUGCGGGUAGGCGUUACCCGCAGAAGUAGCACCGGCUAACUCCGUGCCGACCGCCGCGGUAAUAC